GUAAGUUAAGUGGGAAAGGAUGUGGGAUUUCUAAGACAACUAGGAUGUUGGCUUAGAAGCAGCCACUCAUUUAAAGAGUGCGUAAUAGCUCACUAGUCGAGAGAUCCUGCGCCGAAGAUGUAACGGGGCUCAAACUUACCACCGAAGCUAUGGAUGUGUACUUUGUACACGUGGUAGAGGAGCUUUCUGUACAGGUUGAAGUCAUACCGUAAGGAGUGGUGGACAGUACAGAAGUGAGAAUGCUGGCAUAAGUAGCGAAAAACAAGUGAGAAUCUUGUUGACCGAAUAUCUAAGGUUUCCUGGGGAAGGCUCGUCCUCCCAGGGUUAGUCGGGACCUAAGCCGAGGCCGAAAGGCGUAGGUGAUGGACAACUGGUUGAUAUUCCAGUACCACCAUAAUGCGUUUGACAAAUGGGAUGACGCAGGAGGAUAGGAUGUGCGCACUAUUGGAUGUGCGUCUAAGCACUUAGGGUGUUAAGUAGGCAAAUCCGCUUAACAUUAAGCCUGAGGUGUGAUGGGGAGCCUAUUUUGGCGAAGUAUCUGAUUCCACGCUGCCAAGAAAAGUCUCUAUGGAGCAAAAUGGUGCCCGUACCGCAAACCGACACAGGUAGAUGAGGAGAGAAUCCUAAGGUCGUCGGAAGAAUUAUUGCUAAGGAACUCGGCAAAUUGACCCCGUAACUUAGGGAGAAGGGGUGCCUACGAGAGUAGGCCGCAGUGAAUAGGCUCAAGCAACUGUUUAUCAAAAACACAGGUCUCUGCUAAAGCGCAAGCUGAUGUAUAGGGGCUGACGCCUGCCCGGUGCUGGAAGGUUAAGGGGAAUAGUUAGCGCAAGCGAAGCUAUGAACUUAAGCCCCAGUAAACGGCGGCCGUAACUAUAACGGUCCUAAGGUAGCG
rnacentral:rRNA from 1 species